rnacentral:rRNA from 1 species
CCUACGGGGGGCAGCAGUGAGGAAUAUUGGUCAAUGGGCGCGAGCCUGAACCAGCCAAGCCGUGUGAGGGAAGACGGCCCUCCGGGUUGUAAACCUCUUUUGCCGGGGAGCAACGGGCGCCACGUGUGGCGCCACUGUGAGUACCCGGCGAACAAGCAUCGGCUAACUCCGUGCCAGCAGCCGCGGUAAUACGGAGGAUGCGAGCGUUAUCCGGAUUUAUUGGGUUUAAGGGGUGCGUAGGCGGAGCGUUAAGUCAGUGGUAAAAUUGAGGGGCGAAACCCCUUCCCGCCAUUGAAACUGGCGCUCUUGAGUGGAAGAGAGGUAUGCGGAAUGCGUGGUGUAGCGGUGAAAUGCAUAGAGAUCACGCAGAACCCCGAUUGCGAAGGCAGCAUGCCGGCUUCCGACUGACGCUGAAGCACGAAAGCGUGGGGAUCGAACAGGAUUAGAUACCCUAGUAGUC